UGGCCCGCUAAUUGCUCGUUUGUUCUUUUGUCUUUCUCUUUGUUUCUUUCUCUCUCCUCCUCGCUCAUCCUCCUCCGCUUUCCUUUGUUCCGAGAGGCCGGCCCCAGUGUGGUUUCGGUUGUGCUUCGGAGCAGUCGCGUAGUCACCCGUGUCCAGCUCCUGCUUUGUUCUUUGUUCCGAAAUCGGUCUUCUUCUUCUUCGGACCCCGAACGUCGCCUCACGGUUCCUGCGUUCGUCAAAGGGCCUCCUUUCGUUCGACACAUUGGGGUCACGUGAUGUUUUUGUCGGAGCAAGGAUGAGUCACCCUCGCCUCAACGGCGCCUGGCUGUUGCUGUGCGUGUUCUGUCUGGGCCCGGGCUCACUUUCAGAAGGAGCCGAGAACGGAAGAAGGUCGGAUUACCGUAACUCGAGAAGCGCAAGAGCGAGUUGCACGGCUGGCCCUCCGUUUCAAGUGACCUCCUUCAGCUGCGGAUGACCUGUGCUUAAUCAAGACCGCUUGAAUGGCAACUGAGAACUUGCUCCAAGCAAAAAGUGUUUUUAUGAAAUCGUGUUAGCUCGUGCGAAUUCACUGAAUAGGAACAAGUGUGCUUUCAUCGAGACAGCUCGUCCGGAAACUUGCAUUGUCGGCCUAAUAAAGUUUGACGUCAAGCCUAAUAAAACGUGAGGUUAAAACGGAGAAA
rnacentral:lncRNA from 1 species